UACGUAGGUGGCAAGCGUUGUCCGGAAUCACUGGGCGUAAAGCGCACGUAGGCGGGUUCUUAAGUCAGGGGUGAAAUCCCGGAGCUCAACUCCGGAACUGCCUUUGAUACUGGGAAUCUUGAGUCCGGGAGAGGUGAGUGGAACUCCGAGUGUAGAGGUGAAAUUCGUAGAUAUUCGGAAGAACACCAGUGGCGAAGGCGGCUCACUGGCCCGGUACUGACGCUGAGGUGCGAAAGCGUGGGGAGCAAACAGG
rnacentral:rRNA from 1 species